CGACCGGCGCACGGGUGAGUAACACGUAUCCAACCUGCCGUCUACUCUUGGACAGCCUUCUGAAAGGAAGAUUAAUACAAGAUGGCAUCAUGAGUCCGCAUGUUCACAUGAUUAAAGGUAUUCCGGUAAAGGAUGGGGAUGCGUUCCAUUAGGUUGUUGGUGGGGUAACGGCCCACCAAGCCUUCGAUGGAUAGGGGUUCUGAGAGGAAGGUCCCCCACAUUGGAACUGAGACACGGUCCAA
rnacentral:rRNA from 1 species